AGGCAAUGACCGACCGCACGACACCACCUGCGUCCUUCUACUCCGAGCCUCGCACUUGAGAGGUUUGUUCCUCCUGAAGUGUGCAAAAAGUACAAACUGAUCUACAGUCCACAACGGACUCAAACCGGAGCACCCCUCAAAUACCAUGGAUUGCCCAACUGCUCCUAAAGGAACAUGUCCCAUCAAAGGCCAUGGACUGCACUUGGAAUGGAAGAGGAUGUCUUGAGAUGUCCAAAAACUUAGAUGCUUGGAUGACAUGACAUGACAUGAAAGGGUGAAGGCUGCCAAGAUAGCCUGGUAUCCUCCCCCCCCCCCCAUACAGAGGGGUUAGACAAGAUACGUGGCACUUGAACCUUGUAAGGGUGAAGGCUGCCAAGAUAGCCUGGUAACCCCCCCCCCCUUAGAGGGGUUAGAGAAGAUGCGUGGCACUUGAAUCUUGCAAGGUUUGCAGCAGCUGUGUGUACGGGUGACUUUCCUUAAAGUUCGAGAUGGUCACAUGAUUUACAAGGAGGCAGCUAAACCUUUUGUCUGACUGAAAUGGCACUUGAGAUGAGGCAAGUAUAUUGUAUGAAUUAAGUCAAAAUAGCAUAUUGCACACCAGCUCCAGCUUCUCCCUUUGGCAAGCUAGGCGUUUCUCGUGCAUAGAAUAAAAUGUGUAGGGGUUUAUGUAGCCUUCAAAAUGUGGCUGGAAUUCUUGCAGGGUUGCAAGAGCUUGUGUAGAGCUUCUGCAGGUUUCAACUACGGCUGCAAGAUGCGUUAUGAGUGCAUUCGACCACCAAAUAAAAAAAAAUUAA